ensembl:misc_RNA Metazoa_SRP Metazoan signal recognition particle RNA
GCCGGGCGCGGUGGCGCAUGCCUGUUGUCGCAGCUACUUGGGAGGCUGAGGCUGGAGGAUCGCUUGAGCCCAGGAGUUCUGGGCUGUAGUGCGCUAUGCCGAUCGGGUGUCCUCACUAAGUAUGGCAUCAAUAUAGUGACCUCCCAGGAGUGGGGGACCACCAGGUUGCCUAAGGAGGGGUGAACUGGCCCAGGUUGGAAAUGGAGCAGGUCGGAACUCCCUUGCUGAUCAGUGGUGGGAUGGCGCCUCUGAAUAGCCACUGCACUCCAGCCUGGGCAACAUAGCAAGACCCCCUGUCUCU